rnacentral:rRNA from 1 species
CCUACGGGAGGCUGCAGUGAGGAAUAUUGGUCAAUGGACGAGAGUCUGAACCAGCCAAGUAGCGUGAAGGAUGACUGCCCUAUGGGUUGUAAACUUCUUUUAUAAAGGAAUAAAACGAGGCACGUGUGCCUUUUUGCAUGUACUUUAUGAAUAAGGAUCGGCUAACUCCGUGCCAGCAGCCGCGGUAAUACGGAGGAUCCGAGCGUUAUCCGGAUUUAUUGGGUUUAAAGGGAGCGUAGAUGGGUUUUUAAGUCAGGUGUGAAAGUUUGCGGCUCAACCGUAAAAUUGCAAUUGAUACUGGCAGUCGUGAGUACAGUUGAGGUAAGCGGAAUGCGUGGUGUAGCGGUGAAAUGCUUAGAUAUCACGAAGAACCCCGAUUGCGAAGGCAGCUUACUAAACUGUGACUGACAUUGAUGCUCGAAAGUGUGGGUAUCAAACAGGAUUAGAUACCCCUGUAGUC